rnacentral:lncRNA from 1 species
UAGGCACAAGGAAGUGCAAACUCAGGAUGGGUCAAGGAUAUGGUAGAACUGCCAUGGGAGGGUGAGCUGAUGCAGAGGGAUCGGGCUGAUGUAUCUAGAACCACAUGAUGUCGGGUCAUCCAAUCCAUACCAAGGAUGACAUCUAUGCCUUCUAGGUCAAGGAUGAUAAGGUUUUCCUUGAAGAGGGUGGGGCCUAGCUGGAGAGGUACAAGAAUAACGAUCUGAU